GCCAGUGUGGUGCAGUGGUUUGAAUAUUAGACUGGGACUCUAGAGACUAGGGUUUGAAUCCUCACUUGACC